rnacentral:rRNA from 1 species
CUACGGGUCGCUCCAGUGGGGAAUAUUGCACAAUGGGCGCAAGCCUGAUGCAGCAACGCCGCGUGAGGGACGAAGGCCUUCGGGUUGUAAACCUCUUUUAGCAGGGAAGAAGCGAAAGUGACGGUACCUGCAGAAAAAGCACCGGCUAACUACGUGCCAGCGAGCCGCGGUAAUACGUAGGGUGCAAGCGUUGUCCGGAAUUAUUGGGCGUAAAGAGCUCGUAGGCGGUUUGUCACGUCUGCUGUGAAAUUUCGAGGCUCAACCUCGAACUUGCAGUGGGUACGGGCAGGCUAGAGUGCGGUAGGGGAGAUGGGAAUUCCUGGUGUAGCGGUGGAAUGCGCAGAUAUCAGGAGGAACACCAAUGGCGAAGGCACAUCUCUGGGCCGUAACUGACGCUGAGGAGCGAAAGCGUGGGGAGCAAACAGGAUUAGAUACCCCAGUAGUC